UAACAUUGAUAGUACUCUACACCCACUAUCCGCCCGGGAACUACGAGCAUCAGCUUGAAACCCAAAGGACUUGGCGGUGCUUUAGAUCCACCUAGAGGAGCCUGUUCUAGAACCGAUAACCCCCGUUCAACCUCACCUUUUCUUGUUUUCCCCGCCUAUAUACCGCCGUCGUCAGCUUACCCUGUGAAGGACUCAUAGUAAGCAAAAUUGGCACAGCCCAAAACGUCAGGUCGAGGUGUAGCGUAUGGAAAGGGAAGAAAUGGGCUACAUUCCCUAUAAUUAGUGAAUACGGACGAUGUCCUGAAAGAGACAUCUGAAGGAGGAUUUAGCAGUAAGCAGGAAAUAGAGCGUUCCGCUGAAAUUGGCCCUGAAGCGCGCACACACCGCCCGUCACUCUCCCCAAGCUCACAAAUUAAUUAAUUAAAACCCUAAAAUCGCAAAGGGGAGGCAAGUCGUAACAUGGUAAGUGUACUGGAAAGG
rnacentral:rRNA from 1 species